rnacentral:rRNA from 1 species
GAUGAACGCUGGCGGCGUGCCUAAUACAUGCAAGUCGAACGGGGAGUUUUGCUUCGGUAGAACUCUUAGUGGCGAACGGGUGAGUAACGCGUUGGUGACCUACCCCGAAGUGUGGGAUAACAGUUCGAAAGGACUGCUAAUACCGCAUGAGGAUGGAGAGAUUAGAAGCUCUCUAUCGAAAGGUGCAAACCGCUUUGGGAGGGGCCUGCGACCCAUCAGCUAGUUGGUAGGGUAAAAGCCUACCAAGGCGACGACGGGUAGGGGACCUGAGAGGGUGACCCCCCACACUGGCACUGAAACACGGGCCAGACACCUACGGGUGGCUG